rnacentral:piRNA from 1 species
UUGCCUUGCNCUUUUUUUGUAUCCAGGCC